UUUCCUUAUCUUUUUAUGUUA
rnacentral:piRNA from 1 species